ACGAUCUCUUGUUUCAUUUAUUCGUUUUUCAAAACGAUGACGGCAAUGUUUGCUGUUCUUUUUGUGUAUCGAUUGUCGUUCUACGGAGUCAGUGCCGAAACAGAAUAGUGGACUGCCGUGCGGUGUUGCGUAUUUUCGGAUGCGCAACGCCGAAUACAGCGUUUUAACGGUGAGGUCUGGGUUUCUAUGCGCUAUGUUUGAGCCGACGUUUUACCGUGUCGUGCGUAUGAUGCUAGCCGGCUGUUUGCACUCGUUUGCGAACGUAGGAUUGAAGAGCCCGAGUGGCCGCCCUGACAAAACAUUCAUUUUUAAUUUAUUUUCUUGUGAAAUUAUAUUA
rnacentral:misc_RNA from 1 species